rnacentral:tRNA from 1 species
GGGGGUAUAGCUCAGUGGUAGAGCUCAUGCUUAGCACGCACGAGGUCCUGGGUUCAAUCCCCAGUACCCCCA